ACGUAGGACACGAACGUUAUCCGGAAUUACUGGGCGUAAAGGGCGCGCAGGCGGUUUCACAAGACGGACAUGAAAGCCUGGGGCUCAACUCCGGGAGGCUGUCGGUGACUGUGAGACUUGAGCGUGAGAGAGGGGUGUGGAAUUCCGCGUGUAGUGGUGAAAUGCGUAGAGAUGCGGAGGAACACCGGAGGCGAAGGCGGCACCCUGGCUCACGGCUGACGCUGAGGCGCGAAAGCAUGGGGAGCGAACGGG
rnacentral:rRNA from 1 species